UACUGCCAUGCUACCAACAUCUGCCUCUUAUGUCAUGGAUCAACAGAAUUAAAUAGAAGGCAUUACUUUCAGAGCAAUCUUCACUGACAGCGUCUUCAUGGGCUGAAUGAUGAUACGGAAUCUGUUGUGGUAAGCUGAUCUCACUACUUCUUCAUAUCUAAUUCAAACUCAUCAGAUAAGAACCGGAAUCCAUUUCCAUCCAUGGCCUGAAGAACCAAGAAAAUUAUAUUGGACUCCUGAGUAAUGAAAGGGAAAGAAGUAUUCACAAAAGAUAAGUUUAGUCUUCAAAGAACAGACUUGCUAGACUACCUUCACUGUUUAUAGAAGAAAAACCGUACUAAGGAAAAAAAAAUCAAGAACACCUAGAACAUGGCUUUUGCUCUGAAUCAUCUUCUAAAGAAGCCUCUCUCUCCUGUGAAUACUGUAUGUUUCCUUGCUUCCUUAUGGCAAUGUAAACUUUCAUAUAACCUGUGUACUGUCGUUAAGUACUUUGAGGAAGGACGAUGAGCUCACAUUCAUAUAUUCUCUCUCCUGUGCAGUGGAUGGUUGUGGAAAGCAGCUCUUUGGUAAUGGCUGUUCACAACACAUGGUGUUAAAAGUAUUUCUUUACUUUCAUACAGUCUGUGUAUCUUUUCCUCAUUAUACAGGCAUAUUGGAGACUAUCAGGUGAACCCUCAGUCUAAAGCCCAGAGUCUAGGAUUCUUUUCCAAACAAUCUGUAUGUGAUUUUCCACAGCUUUAUUAACAGCUAUCAGUUGGUGCAGGGGACAGGAAAGCAUUUUCACUAAUGACUGAGGAACUCACUAAUCUGCAGCCUUGUACUCUGCACCUGUAUUAUAAUUCUCCUCACUCCUUGCUAAGGCCUGCUGUCAGGCAAAGAGUUGAAGUGCAGAAAGUGGAUCCAGGACCCUCUCUUUACACAGGCAGAAUGACAUUUUCUACAUUGGAAUAUAAAAGGCCAUUCAAGAAGAACAUUGUGUUGAAGGCUAUACUAUACAAACUCUUUUUCAUAACUUUGAUGUUCCUUUCAUAUACUACGUAUGUUUAGUAUUGAAAUAUGCAACUCUGUAUGUUGGAUACAGGAGAGGCUCACAGAAGAUAUCAAUCUUCAGCUCAUGGAAGGACCAAUUUCAGCUCGGGAUGCUAAUGGGCUUAUCCAGUUGAGAUCUGAAAAGAAAUCAAAGGAUCCUGACAUAAAUUACACUUGAGAGUAUGGGAAUGGCUAAAAAUAAGUUACAGAUGGAAUAUUCAUUUUCUGCUGAGUUUUACACAAGUUAGGGUUGUUAUACUGCAUCCUCUCUUCUCCACUCUUCCCAUCCCUUUUAGUACCUCAGAAGUUAAUUGUUUUAAACAAACUACAACUCAUUUAUUCUCAAUUGCAUUGUUUGAAGUUGUAUUCUGGAGAAAGGCUCAGAACACCACCAGCAGCCAGCAGAGGGGGCCCACGUUUUUAACUUGGUCUGGUCUCACUGAAAUCCCUAAAAUAAAGAACAUACAGCUUCUGCACAAAAACGUGAGUGUUGGUUAGAGGUGGUAGCCAAGUUACUUCUAAUUUGAGCAGAAAUCUCUCUUGUGUGUGUGUGCUUUUGGCAAAACAACAAAUAAAAUUCCCACCUUCCUGUAAUCAGUAGUAAGAAAUUAUUUGCUAUGAAUAUACAAUUGUGUGGGAAUCUAUUCAAAUUCUUCACAGAUCAGCUUAUAGAUACGGUUGGAAUCUUUUAAUUAACCCUUGGCCUCAUAUGCCUUUUUGUCUGUCACUACUUUUUCAAAAGUCAAAAUAAUAUCUUCAUCUUCACUUCACUUACCACUUCAGGCUCCAGCCUUGCAAACAUACAGUGAAUUGGUCCACACAGGCAGUCUCAAAGAAGUUUUGUAGCAUACAGAAAGUGUAUUUAUAAUAAUUACGAGUAACUUUUCCAGAAAGUCGUUUGUCACUUCAGUGUCUUUUUGUAAUAUGUUUUUCUCAAUAGCUCUAUCAUAAGUCAUGUUAAUUACUCUAUGUGUGAAAGUAUUAAUAAAAGGUACUAUAUUUUCCAUGUUA
ensembl:lncRNA